AAAAUGGAUACAGCUGAGCUGUAGAAUAACAUGGAUCGAUGCAGGAGGCAAUUUAUAUUGGAAGCUAUGCUAGACACUUCACAGAUAACAGUCAAGCUACUGGAAACUAUAAGCCUCCAGUGUUCACUUUAACUUGAAGGGCUGCUGGAGAUUUGUUGCUGUCGAGGAGAGUGAUAUCGUCGGCAAACAAUUUGGAAAAUAAUGAAGAAGAAUGUGAUAUGUCAUUGAUGAAUACUAAAAAUAGAAAUGGACUCAAACAGCUACCUUGUGGGACCCCGUGGGUCACUGAUUUAAAGAGAGGAAUUACACGAGCAAUUUUCAGAGAUGAGGGGAAUAUGCCGAGUGACAACGAGAAAUUGAAGAACUCUGACACGCAUGGAGCAAUGAGGUCAGCAACAUUCUUUAGGAAACGUGCUGUAUUGUCUGGCCCAACGGCUUUCCUCAUCUUGAGGUUCCGAAUUUCUACCAGCAAUUCAUUCGGCGUAGCCAAACUCAUAAAUAUGGACUGACUCACACGGUUGCGAAGAAAAUGUUUGAAGUUACCCGAAUCGUUAGAAAAAUUCUCUGAGAGGCUGGCCCCAAUAGUUGAGAAGUACUCGUUAAAUUCACUCGAUAUCAAAAAGCCAACCCUGGUGAAUAUAGGGCAGAGAAUAUAGGGCAGAUUGUAGCGCAUAUUUCUUGUAGUGAAAGCGUAUUUUUUGUAAAACGUUCAACUUUUGGAAAUGAUAACAAUGUAUUAUUUGGUACUAAAUUUCUUAGGAACAUUUUAAAAUUAUUUCCAGGUAAUCCCUCAUGUGCGCUACGAAACUCAUUUUCUAGGCGUUUU